AUGUGGUGGUUUUUUGCAAUUCACUCCCCGGAACUCGACGAGCUACCGCUUGCGCGGGAGGAUUGUUUCCGCGACGAGGACGCGUCGACGGCUCUGAAGAUGGACUGGGCGUCGUGCUACGUGCCGCACAGCGACCACGACGCGCACUUCGGGGUUGCCGACCCUGGCGUCAUCGGCGUGGCGGACGGCGUCAGCGCGUACAGCGCGAAAGGCGUGGACGCGGGCGCCUUCUCUCGGAGCCUCAUGGCGAGCGCCUACAAAGACGCGCUGGAGACGGUGCCCAGGCCCAUCUGCCCCUACACGUUGCUGCAACGGGCCUACAAGGGCGCGGCCUCGUCGGGCGUGCCUGGGGCGUCCACGGCGGUCCUUCUCUCGCUCGUCGGGGACACCCUCAGGUGGGCCAACGUGGGUGACAGCGGCUUCGCCGUGCUCCGCGGCGGCGCGAUCGUGCACCGCUCGCGGCCGCAGCUGGCCCGCUUCAACUGCCCGCUCCAGCUCGCCGCCAAGGGCGCCGACAGCGUCACCGAGGCGGAGGUGGGCGAGACCGCGGUGAGGGACGGCGACAUCGUGGUGGUGGCCGCGGACGGGCUGUUCGACAACAUGUUCGACGCGGAACUCGAGCCCGUCGUGCGGAUGGGCACGGCGCUGGGCUUCUCACCCAAGAACAUGGCGGACAUCAUUGCCGGCAUCGCCUACGAGAUGUCGUGGAGCAAGGUCAAGGACUCGCCGUUCAGCGUCGGCUACCGGAAGCACACGGGGAGUCAACGGUGCGGCGGGAAGCAAGAUGACAUAACCGUCGUCGUCGCCUUCAUCGUCUCCACUCAGCUGGAGGGCGUGGGCGUGGGCGUCGACAAGGUUGAAGAUGAUGCAGCUUCAAAUUCUAUCUGGAUGGAUCAAGUCAAGAUGAAGAAAAGGGCAUACGAACUUAAGAACGUAUCUGGGCCAUCUCUCGGUGCAAAAAGCGAUUCCGUCGACAGUGGAAAUCGGCGUACAUUGCAGCGUUCCAAUUCCGGGCCGAUUUCUCGUGCCAGAGGUCGUUGGUAUUGA
rnacentral:rRNA from 1 species